rnacentral:misc_RNA from 1 species
GUCGAAGGUGGGGCUGAUGACUGGGGUGAAGUCGUAACAAGGUAUCCGUACCGGAAGGUGCGGAUGGAUCACCUCCUAACAGGGAGACAACACAAUGAUUUUGAUGCCUGAGUGCUCUUAUUCUUAGGCCGAAAUCCUGUCACCUUAGGUCGAUCGGUACCUCAGCUUUGAAGUCAAGGAUCAGCAGCAAUGUUGAUUGCUUGAUGGAGAUUUUCAGUUCCUAAACUUUGUCUAGGUCACACCCCAAAAGGGAUGAGACUCCUGGGCCAUUAGCUCAGGUGGUUAGAGCGCACCCCUGAUAAGGGUGAGGUCCCUGGUUCAAGUCCAGGAUGGCCCAUUCGGUGUUGGGGGUUUAGCUCAGUUGGUAGAGCGCCUGCUUUGCAAGCAGGAUGUCAGGAGUUCGAGUCUCCUAACCUCCACUGACCGAACUUGAUUCCCAUCUCCAAUUCUUUUGGAGUUGAGCUCGAUUGGAGUGUGAUUUAGAUGUGUCCGCUGGAUGACCCCAGCUUCCUGUCAUUCCAAGUUUUAGGUUGAUGCCUUGAAUUUGGUUGAUAAGAUGCUGGGCUCGGAUCAAAUGAUCAAGCAAUUGAUGAUUUGAUUUGAAGUUCUAGCAGAACCUUGACAACUGCAUAGGUGAGUCUGGAAAAAACAAAGCAUCUUACAGAUGCAUUGUUUUGAAUCUGAUCUUCUGAAAGGGAGAUUGGAUCUAGAACAAUGAAAAUUCUUUUGAGCAAGAGCCGAGACUCUUGAGCGUUCUUUGAUUGGUGUCGAGCCAAUCAGAGUUUGAUCCUGUUUUUAGCAAUAAAAACUUGAGAAUCUGCUUUCAACGGCGGUAAGCGUUCAGGAGGUUAAUUGGUCAAGCUACAAAGGGCUCACGGCG